GUCCACGCCGUAAACGAUGGAUACUAGCUGUUGGAAGCAAUUUCAGUGGCUAAGCGAAAGUGAUAAGUAUCCCACCUGGGGAGUACGUUCGCAAGAAUGAAACUCAAAGGAAUUGACGGGGGCCCCGCACAAGCGGUGGGGCAUGUGGUUUAAUUCGAUGAUACGCGAGGAACCUUACCAAGGCUUAAAUGUAGAUUGACCGUUUUGGAAACAGAACUUUCGCAAGACAAUUUACAAGGUGCUGCAUGGUUGUCGU
rnacentral:rRNA from 1 species